UACGGGGGGGGCAAGCGUUGUUCGGAAUUACUGGGCGUAAAGGGCCCGUAGGUGGCCAACUAAGUCAGACGUGAAAUCCCUCGGCUUAACCGGGGAACUGCGUCUGAUACUGGAUGGCUUGAGUUCGGGAGAGGGAUGCGGAAUUCCAGGUGUAGCGGUGAAAUGCGUAGAUAUCUGGAGGAACACCGGUGGCGAAGGCGGCAUCCUGGACCGACACUGACGCUGAGGAGCGAAAGCCAGGGGAGCAAACGGG
rnacentral:rRNA from 1 species